GUGCUUGCUUCAGCAGCACAUAUACUAACAUUGGAACAACACAGAGAUUAGCAUGGCCCCUGCACAGGGAUGACACACAAAUUCCUGAAGCAUUCCAUAUUUUU